AGAGUUUGAUCCAUGGCUCAGAACGUACGCUGGCGGCACGCCUAACACAUGCAAGUCGAACGAAGUAGCNAUCCUUAGUGGCAGACGGGUGAGUAACAUGUAGGUAUCUGCCCUUUGGCCUGGAAUAACACGAGGAAACUUGUGCUAAUACCGGAUAAGUCUUUACGGAGAAAGCUUUAUGCACCAUUGGAUGAGCCUGCACUUGAUUAGUUUGUUGGUGGGGUAAUGGCCUACCAAGACUGUGAUCAAUAGCUGAUUUGAGAGGAUGAUCAGCCACANNNNNNCUGAGACACGGCCCAAACUCCUACGGNUANCCAGCAGUGGGGAAUNANNCACAAUGGAGGAAACUCUGAUGCAGCGAUGCCGCGUGAGUGAAGAAGGCCUUUGGGUUGUAAAGCUCUUUCGUCGGGGAAGAAAA
rnacentral:rRNA from 1 species